rnacentral:lncRNA from 1 species
CGCGCCCGGAAGGACGGUCUGCAAGGUCUGCACGGUUUGCACGGUUUGCACGAGGAAGGUGGCGACCCCGGGCAGGCUCCGGCUUUGAGGGAUUUACAGCUAGCCUGGUAAACACCGCGCCCGAGCCCUCCAGGGACCCCAGAGGCACAAGCAGCCCGGGGCUUCCUGCGGGGGGCGCUGCGGCCCGAAAUGCCCGGGUGCAAAACAAGACCUAGUAGCAACUUCCGAUGCCGCCCUGGGACAGAAAGCUGUGGGUCUCACGGGCCCCGCUCGGGGCGCCCGGGUUCUCGUGCACUUUGCCGGGUGGGGGUGGAGCUGUGCUGAUUUUCACCGAGAACACGCCACUUCCGGUGCCCCACGCAUUAUUUCGGCGCCAUAUUGUUUCCCAGACCCGCGUCCAGAUUUGGUGCGUUUGUAUUUGGCGCGUUUUCUGCAAAUCUUUUCUAGAUUUGACGGCCCUUCUGGCUUCUCUCCCGCGGUCCUCCCGGGAAGGGGCGGGGGGGGGGGGACGGUCACACACUCCCCCGGGUCCGGCCCCAGCUGGUGCGGCGCAGAGAGGCGUCCCUGUGGCUAUCGGCCGCUUGAGGCUGCAUAUGAGCUGGGAAUUAGAUAAAGUAGACGUUUAUCCACGUCCCUCAGCCAGGAGUUCAAAUCCAAAGAUGCACAGAGCAAAUCGAAGUUACGGGCAGGUGUCUGUGUUAACGCAAACCGGUCCUGCCUCAGCCCCCCACUUGGGUGGGGACAGCACUGUAGAUAGACCCAGUGGGCCCGGGUCUUCGGUUCUGCCUUGGGACCUACUUUACAGAGAAGCUGUGGGUGCAAGGCCCGGGCUUGACCUGCGGGGAUUUGUGUGUGCCCGCAUCCCGCAUCCCUCCGGGUUCCCUCCUGCCUCCCAGCUGCUGCCAGAACAGAGCCAGCGUUUUCCAUCGGCCUAGCUCUGCGCAGAGCCCUGCACACUGCAGGGAGACGAUGAGGUUAGCGUCCCCGAUGGUCUGGUCACUAAAUCACCCAGGUCCAUCCUCCAGAAGCGGGGUCAGUAGGUCUGGGAGGAUCCCAGAAACUCUCCGCCUUGAACACCUGCCAGGUGAAUCUGAGCCAGGCUGUGUGGACAAGGGGCAGUGGCUCCCAGUGGUAAGCAGGAGUUGGCCUGUGUGUGGCCACCCCACAUUUUCUGCCACAGCCACCCACGUUCAUAAUCUCGCGCACCAGUGACCUGGGCCAGCUCUUCCUUUGAGGAUACAGUGGCCGCCUUGGGGUGGCACAGGCUUUCGUCUCUCAGGAGGAGACUGGUUGUUGCAAGGACAACCGGUUUGGGUCCUGCUGACAUGUGGUGGACUGUGCAAGAUACCUAGAAAUAGGUAUUUCUGCUUUCUCUUUGGACACCGGGGGUAAGAUAUUCGCUGGAAAUAUAAAGCAAAGGGACAGUUUCAGACAGCUGCAAAGAGGAGAAUCACAGAGAGCCUGGCCUUUGAGUCCUGUGAUGGAUGGGGUUUUCAGAGGCAGGGGACUCGGAGGAGACAAGCCUCAGCCAUCCCCCGUGCAGUCAUGCCUUUGUUUUCACAGAACAGUGGAGAAUCAUGCCCCAGAAAGCACACGGUGAGGUCUGAAGAAGGUCUUGGGAAGAAAAGCAUUAUGGAAUAUAAUUAAAACAGGGUUAGGGGCCCACAUAUAAUCUGCAACAGAUCAUAAUUCUUAGGGUUGCUAUUAAAAUGUGCUUAUUUCCAGGUUGAAUGAAGCUGGCAUAGACAGGAAAGUUAUGAGGUGUGGAGUUUCGCUCCCGUGUCCUGUGGUGACGUAAGCGUGGACCUCCGGCUCUGGGCAAGAGUGUCUCCAAGUUUUGCUGGCCUCAUCAGCAGCAUGGGGAAGAGGUAAACAGUUCCCUCCCUGCUGGGUUGUUGGAGGGAUCGGGUGAAACACUGCAUUAUGUCUGACACGUGUAACAAGUGCUUGAUAAGUAUUUGCUACCUGAAAACAGUAUAACUCGUUGAAAGAAGUCCAAAGAAAUCAGUGGAAAUGUUAAGCUGGUAUGUUUUCCUGUGAAUGGAAAACCAUCGUCUUUAGGCUAAAACCAAACAAAAAAACCCCAAGUUGUAUUUUCCUUUUUGGCUGGGUUUUCCAUUAAAAAAAAUUCUUCCUAAACGUAAACAAGCAAAUGAACUAAAGGAAAUUUACAAUUGUGGGUUGUCAUUAAAUUGCAAGGCCCCCCCUUGGGACGGGGUAGAAGCCCAUUGCUCCAUACCCCUGGCCCGCGGAGUCAUUCAAGGAUGCCCUUCCCGCGACUGGACAAAACGAUGCAGGCCGAUUUUCCAUGUGUGACGUCUACCGUGCUCUGGGGAUGGUUCCCACUGGCCACUGACCAAUCUGAGGUGACUGCUUUCUUUCCACAUGGAAAAACUGCAUCUACUGGGAGAGAUCAGAGUCCCGGAGUCCUUUGCGUCUCAUGACAUCAGAAGCAUUUCCUAGUCCAUUUCCCUAGAGUCUGACCACCAGGAGCACUGACCCUGUUUUAAACGUGAAAGUCCCUCUGACAUGACUAGAAUUUUCCCCGACCACAGCCAUUUGACUCAAGUUGGAACGCACUGGUAGUGUGGGUGUUCCUCGUUCGUACCAGGGCCCCUGCUCAGAGAAUGAGUAGGAAUUAGCCUUUGCACGGACACCAGGCUGCCCUCAAGGGUAUUUACCAACUGUAUGGUCUUGAGAUAUUCUUCCUUUCCAGUUUCUGGGUAUUCAUCUGUAAAAUGAGGCAAUAGAAGCUAACAGGGUUAGCGUGUGAGGAAUAAAACCCUGGAAUAUGAAGGUUUGUUAUACAACGCUGGAUGUGUAAAUACUAAGUGAAUAGUAUUUACAUAUUCACUCAUGUAUGUAUGAGUAUGUAGUAGGGGAAGGGCUGAUAUGUUGGUAAGGUUAGGAUUGCAAAAGGUUUGUGGAAACUGUGAGAAAAAAGUUUCAGUAUGUUGGUGAAUAUAUGUCAAAUGCUCCCACUUAUCUGAAGGAGAGAUCCGGCAAAUACAUCAGUGUGGGUACAGGAGGAAUUAGUCUGUUUCCUAAAGACUUCUGGAAAAGUCUCAAAAAACCUUACAUGCCUGUUGCUUUUUAAGAAUGGUGAUGGCACUAGGUUUCCCCCUACAAAGCUGUUGCGGAUUGUGCUGUGUGUGUUGGGAGUAACAGAAGACCCACAGGGACACCAGGGGUAAGGGACUAAGGGACUAGGUCAGUGACAACCACACCAUGGCACAAACCUAGAAGAAGACCAAUUGAGUUCCAUUGGGCUUGGUGUGAGUUUCCACCUGAUACGGGUCUGCCAUGUUGAAUGGGAGCAAACAGCCCCAUCGAAUCCUCUUUGUGGAUUCCUAUAACAUGAGGGUGAACCCUGAGAAGCAGAACACUUGACUUAGGCUGUAUUCUGGAUUGUGGGGAAUCUCUGCAUCACUUCUGCAUGCAUCUGACUGUGCUCCCUGGUCUCAGAAAACAAGUAGGAGUAGUGUCCUUGUAAGAAGGGACACGAGAGAGCACACUUUCUCUUUCUCUCUGCCUCUCCACACACACACGCAUGCACGCACGCACCCACGCAGAGAAAGGCCAUGUGAGCACACAGCAAGAAGGCAGCUCUCUGCAAGCCAGGAAGACAGCCUUACUAGAAACUGAAUCAGCCAGAACCUUGAUCUUGAACUUGCAGCUUCCAGAACUGCGAGGAAUACAUUUUUUGUUGUUUAAGCCCCCAGCCUCUGCCGUGGUAUUUUGGUACAGCAGUCCUAGGAAGCAGUUUAACCGGUCAUAUCAAUCAGGGCCUGCUCCAAUGACCUCAUUUUAACUUGAUCACCUCUGUGAAGACUCUAUCGCCAAAUCAGGUCACAUUCUGAGGGACUAGAUGUUGGACUUUGACAUACGUAUUUAAGGGAAACGGUUCAGCCUAUAACCUAAUAUGGGAGCUAAGAAUACCUACUUCACUGGCUUGCUUUGAAUACUAAACAUGUGUAUAAAGCACCUGACACAGAGUAGGCCGUCAAUGGCAGUGGCUUUUAUUAUAAUGACUGCCAGUCAACAUCUUGCUGAUACUCUUUUUUUUUUUUUAAUGUUUAUUUAUUUUGGAGAGAGAGAGAGACAGAGUGUGAGCAGGGGAGGGGCAGAGAGAGAGGGAGACACAGAAUCCGAAGCAGGCUCCAGACUGAGCUGUCGGCACAGAGCCUGAUGUGGGGCCCAAAUUUGUGAACUGUGAGAUCAUGACCUGAGCUGAAGUCAGACCCUUAGCUAACAGCCACCCAGGUGCCCCUUGCUGAUACUAAUAAUACUACUAAUAAAAAAGACUACUACUACUAAUAAAUUAUAAGUAAUAUAUAAUAUAUAGUUAAUAAUAAUAAUAAUAAUAAUAAAGCUUCCGGUGCCCUCCUCUUUGCUCCGUUACCUGGGUUGGGGGGUUUCGAGCCAUAUGGUCUGCACACCCCUGGAGGAGGCCAUCCAGGGAGUGGGGCAUGUUGAACCUGGGCGGUGGACCCCACGUUGAGCCUGGCACAGGCCUGCUCCCCAUCGUAAAUGCUCUGGGAAUGUUGGCCUCCCCAAAAAGCUGCUAACAACAGCCUACCUCUCUUUCUUUCCUUGUUGACUUGUCAAAAUUAUGGUAAAAAAUACACAAAUUUACCAUCCUAACCAUUUUUAAGGGUACAGUUCAGUGGCAUUAAGUGCAUUCCCAUUGUUAUUCAGCCAUCCAGCCUCCAGAACUUUCUCGUCUUCCCAGACUGAAACUCUGUCCCCGUGAAAUCCUAACUCCCCAGGCCCUGGAAGCCUCCGCUCUAUUUUCUGUCUCUAUCAGUUUGGCUCCUCUAGGGGCCUCACGUGAGUGCGGUCAGGUCACGCGGCUUUUACCCUUAAGUGACUGGCUCGUUUGACCUCGCAUGACGUCCCCAGGACUCAUCUGUGCUGUUGGCGGUGUCAGGAUCCCACUCCUUGUUUGGAGACUCAUUGAUAUUCCCUGGUAUAGGGUAUGGCCGCACCACAUUCCCCCGCACCGCCUUGGUGGUUUCUACCUCUUGGCUGUCUUUAUCUGUCCUAAGACCUCGCUCUUCCCCACUCCCGCGUGCCCUAGGGCACUUCCUCCUUGUCAUUCAUCAUCAUGUGUGGUUACUACUCUGGAGUUGCCAUUUAUAAAUCAUGCCUUUUCCCCUAAAACUUACUUUGGCUCAUGGGACCGAAAAAGGACAAAAAACACAGGCAGGAUCACCAUGGCCGUCGUAAGCAGAGUUCUCUGUCCGGGAGAUGGCAGCUGGGUGCAGGUGCAUGGGGUGACCAGCCUCUCCGGCAUCCCCUGUCCAGUUUUAUAUAUCAAAUCUGAAAGCUUCACUACGGGAAAGUUUUCUGCAGCCUAGUAGUUUUCCACAUUGGCGCUGAGGCCAGCUGCAAGGGGUAGGAAUUACCGGCUGACUUGGCUCAGUUCACCUGGUUUUGUUUCAGGAAAUGACCCUGUUUUUUUUCAAGAGGUCAAGAGCCACCCACCCAAUGCUCGCUGGCAGGUGGGAGGUGAGCAGGGCGGGCCACGGGGACUCCCCUUCCAGGUUCAGGGUGCAGCCCGCAGGCGGGGACCCCGGGGUCACCCUCUGUCCGCGCACUGGCAGGUGACCACCUCCCUGAGCACCUGCCUGGCAUUGCCCCCACUCCGGCAUCUGGGCCGUGCCCACCAUGUCCCCCCACCCCCCCCCCCCCCCGNCGGGGCUCUGGCCCUUCCCACCUCGCGGGGCCCCAGGAGGGCAGCUCUAGACCAGCCGCGGUGCCCCGAGUCCACAGUGUGAUGCCACUGGGAAGUCUUCCCGACAGGCCACUGCGUUUCCUCUUCCUAAUCACACCCCCUACUCGCGCUUCCCUCUCCACCUGCUGGCAAAGUCAGUUCCUUUCGUGCUGUUGAUGCCUCUUGGAUGUUUGUGGGCCGUGAGGGCAUUCCCUUCCCUCUUGUCCGUCCGUUCUAGUGACAGUCCGCACUUGGGCUGGCCCUGCCUUUCUUCCUCCAUCAGUCCCUCCUCCCUCACCACCACUGCCCUUUGACCCGUCCCUGCGGCGCACGCUCACACCACAACACACACUGACACGUGCGCGCUCGCACCCCCGAACACACUCGUACCGACACAACCAGCAAACACACGCUCACACCCAAACACAUUCACACCCCCAACACACAACCAACACAGGCAAAUGCGCGCACUCGCACCCGAACACACUCGCACUCAAACACACGCGCUUACAACUGAGCACGCUCACAAUCCUAACGACUCAAACACGUGUUCACACCCGAACACACGUGUUCACGCUUGAACACACAUGCCCCAGCACACAUCUAACACUCAAACACACGCACUCACACCUGAACACAUCCAUGCACACUCACACGAGCUCCCUCUCUCACACCAGCUCACACUUACACCCCACAGGGGUCUGCGCUUCCCUGCUCUCUCCCUCCAUGACACACACUUCCCUCUGUGUUUCUGUCUGUUCACCUGCCCCUGACCAGGCCGCGGAAAGCCAGGGAGAAGAGUGGUGUGGCCCAGCCAGCUGGGAGCCAUCUUGUCCAACAGACAGAUUUUUAAAAGCAGCCUUCCUCCCAGUGUCUUAACUCACCCCCAGCAUGAAAUAACUAUUCUUAUGGCUCUGCAAUGGGAGAAGCACUACGCAGGGGUAGUUCGCUCUGGAACAACCAUGAGAAGCCAGUGCCUGCCCGCCACCUGGCUUUUUGUUUAACUGAGCUCAGUCGACAACUUAGCCAACUCCUCCUACAUCUCAGAAGCCGACCUAGUUUACUACCAGUCAGACAGCCUUUCUCCGCCCUGGAGGGGCUAACAGUUUAGUUAUACACGAGUAUAGGAGUCGGAGUCCACAGAUGAAUGACUGCAUUGUUACCCACUGUAGUGAGUGCUCCUCAAGGAGAACUCCCGGCCCCUCACCUCUUUCUUCUCAAUGGUGUCUGCCUUCCAGCUCAGACAUUCAUGCCGGUCACACCCUCAGAGCCAUCCCUCCAGAAUCUCAAUGCCCACUACUGCACAUUUCAGCCAUCACGUUCUUGCUCUGGGGCUUGCUUCCUCCAGUGCCCCCAUUCCUGCCGUCUCCUGACGCUGGGGACCUGGGGACCUGCAGUCCUUCCCUGGAGUGCCUUUCCUCGCUUUCCUCCCCACCACCCAGCAGAGAUGCACCAUUGAUCACUGCGUGGCUGCCUCCCAGGCAUCUCCAGCUCCCCUGUCACAUUCUGCUUUGUCCCUCUUGGCAAAGUCAAGGUCCUGAGUCAACGCACCUUGCACUUGGCUGUAGGAAACUGCAUUGUAUGGUGACUAUCCUCCUCGAGGUCUUGGUCAUACUCCUCAAAUGUGCCCUGAAGGCGGCCCAGAUCUGUUUUCUCGUUGUGUUGUGUCCUCUGAAUGUGCUGUCAGUACAUUCAAAUGGCUCCCUUCCGUCCCCACUGAGAUGCAUAAUAAAUACGACACUGGGAAACCAGAUGGAGGUUUGAUGCAGAGACAGGUGAUGUCAACGAAUACUUAGGUGUGCGCCUUUCUUUAAAUCUUAACCAUGUAUUAUGUGUGUAGAGUGUAGGAUACAGUUCUCUUGACUGAUCAUUUGUAUUUAUGUAUUUAGCAUUAUAUCCUUGUUGUUGCAAACGGCAGGAUCUCUUUUGUUGUAUGGCUGAUUAAUAUUUGGAUAAAUACCCAGAAGUGGAUUACUGGAUCAUAGGGUAGUUCUAUUUUUAAUGUUUUGAGGAACCUCCAGACUGUGUUCCAGGGUGGCUACACCAGUUUGCAUUCCCACCAGCAGGGCACACGGGUUCUUUUUUCUCCACACCCUCACCAAUACUUGUGAUUUCUUGUCUUUUUGAUCCUAGCCAUUCUGACUGCUGUGGGGUGGUAGCUCAUAUGGUUUGGAUUUGCGUUUCCCUGAUGAUGAGGGCUGUUGAGCACGUCUUUUCACGUGCUUGUUGGCCAUCUAUAUGUCUUCUUUGGAAAAAAUGUCUAUUCAGAUCUCUGCCUAUUUUUAUUUAACUUUUUAAAGUUUAUUUAUUUUGAAAGAGAGACAGUACACACACAGGAGGGGCAGAGAGAGAGAGGGAGAGAGAGAAUCACAAGCAGUCUCUGUGCUCACAGCACGAGCCUGACAUGGGGCUUGGUCUUACACACUGUGAGAUCAUGACCUGAGCCAAAAUCAAGAGUCAGGCGCUUGGGGCGCCUGGGUGGCGCAGUCGGUUAAGCGUCCGACUUCAGCCAGGUCAUGAUCUCGCGGUCCGUGAGUUCGAGCCCCACAUCAGGCUCUGGGCUGAUGGCUCAGAGCCUGGAGCCUGUUUCCGAUUCUGUGUCUCCCUCUCUCUCUGCCCCUCCCCCGUUCAUGCUCUGUUUCUCUCUGUCCCAAAAAUAAAUAAACGUUGAAAAAAAAAAAAAAAAAGAGUCAGGCGCUUAACCGACUGAGCUGCCCAGGUGCCCCUGCUCAGGUUUAAAUUAGAUUUUUUCUUUGCUAUUGAGUGGCAUGAGUUCCCUUUAGACCGCGUCUAACCAUGUAGUUCAGCGGCAUUAAAUACAUUCUGUGUCAACGUCACUAUUUUCCCCUUUUAAAUAGAACUUGUUUUCCCCUUUUCAAUAGACAUUAUGUUUUAGAGCAGUUUUAGGUUCACAGCAAAAUUGAGCGGAGGGCACUAAACUCCCAUAUACCCUCUGCCCUGCCACGUGCACUGCCUCCCCCAUUACCAUCACCCCCCACCAGAGUGGGGCAUUGGCUACAACUGAUGGACCUACAGUGACAUGUCACAAUCACGGCGAGUCCACAGUUUACGUUAGAGUUCACUCUGGCCGUUGCACACUUUAUGGGUUUGAACAAGGGCAUAAUGAUAUAUAUCCAUCAUUAUAAUAUCAUACAGGGUGUUUUUACUGGUCUAAGACUCCCCUGUGUUGCACCUAUUCAUUCCUCCUUCUACCCCUGGAAACCUCUGACCUUCUCACUCUCUCCAUAGUUUUGCUUUUUCCAGAAUGUUAUAUAGUUGGAAUCAUUCAGUAUGUAGUCUUUCCAGAUUGACUUCUUCCCCUUGGUGAUAUGCAUUUAAGAUUUCCCGAGGUCUUCCCAUGGCUUGAUAGCCCUUUCCGGAAGUUUUUCAUCAUCCAGAAUUGAAAAUCUGUACAGCUUAAGUUUCUUAACUGACAUAAAUUUGAUCAAGAAAUAACCUCUGCAAAGCUCUGCUGCCCAGUGCUACAUUGAGGUGUCAUUACGGACCAAAUGACAUGGAUCUUUAAUUUAAUAUUAUUUUACUUUUUAUGUUUUUUAAGUUUAUUUAUUUAUUUUGAGAGAGAGGGUGUGUGGGAGCUGGGGAGUAGCAGAGAGAGGGAGAGAGAGAAUCCCAAGCAGGCUCCAUGUUGUUAGCACAGAGCCCAAUGUAGGGAUUGAACUCACGAACCCUGAGAUCAUGAACUGAGUGGAAAUCAAGAGUUGGACACUUAAACGACUGAGCCACCCAGGUGCCCCUGGAUCCUUUGUUUUAAUACCCCAAGUAGCUCUUAUGUUUUACUGAAUCAUUUACAACAGAGGACAUGACAUGUGAUGUCAGGAGUGCCCUCCUCCCUCUCAAGGUGCCCUCUCUACCUCCUGUCCCCCCUCUUUCCUCCUCCUCUCUGCCAUCGCACUUCCUGGCUCCUUCUUUUAUGAAAAGUGCUGAUAGGAUGGUAUUAGGUGUGCUAGGUUAUUAUGGUAACAGACAAACAACGAAAGACAAAAACUCUCAGAACUUAGGACUAAAAGUUUUUUCUUGCUCAGUCUGCCUGUCUGGUCGGACUGGCAGGUGUCCCUGCUUUUGGAAAUUCCUUAGGGGUCUAGACUUAUGGGGGCCCCAUUGGAACACGUGUUCCCAUGAUCGCUGCACCAGGAAAGGGAAAGUAGAUGGAGACACGGCAACUUGAAACUCCCACCUAGAAGUGACACACAUCAGAUGCUUUCGCAUUUCACGGGGCAGAGCACGUACAUGGCCAUGCUUUACGUCAAAAUGGACAUAGUUCCACGUGACCGAAAGGAAAGGAGAACCAGAACAUUUGUACAAAGCCCUAAUGACUAUCAUAAGGAGAAUAGAUUGCAUUAAAACCACUUUGUAUGUAAGCAUUUUUUUGGGAUGCAGAUAACCGAAUCUUUGUCUAAAAUCUCAACUUUCCAAUUUCCCAAAUAUUUACACAUCUAAUACAGCCUUUGUUUGAAGCAUAGCCUUGUGACGGGCUGGGUCUAACGCUCUUUCCCAGUGGAAGCAGCGUCAUCGGAAGCCAAUGCUUGCAGGUUAGCUGGUCCAUUUGUGGGCACCAGGAGGCUUCAGCCGGGGCUGGCAGGAUCCCUCAGAGUGUUUUAAAGAAUCAGUACGGCAUGAUAAGUAAAGCCAAGAGGAGGUGCAGGCCAUCUGGGACCUUGUGCAGGGAAGUGAAUGUGUGCAUCGUCAGUGGGUGAUGAGGCUUUGCAGAGGGCCGUGCGUGUGUCUGGGGAAAAUGGGGUGACAGGGGGCCAUGAGGAGGUGUGUGGGGUUGGUGAGGAAAGAGGGGCAAAUGGUCAGACAGAGCUAGGUUCUGUUUGUGACUCUGACAACUACCAGCUUAGGAAAUUGGAUGAAUCCCUUGUUUUCCCUAAACAGCAGUUUCAUUAUCUAGAAAAUGAGGACACUAUGACGAACUGAAGUAAAUUGAGACAAGGCAUGUAUGUGCUUAGCACAGUGCUUGGGUCAGUAAAGUAUAGCUGCGAUUAUGAUUUAAUGUCACAGACAGCCACGACCUGAUUCUAGGUGGUUCUAGUCCCUAUAGCCUGUAUAAGGUAGCCCUCUGCCACACCCCCACCGCCUCCCAAAAGACCCCAUGACUGAGGGAGAAGUUCUGAUUGCUCCAGUCUCCUCUUCCCGUCCCCCAGGGAGAUUCAUGAACGCUCCCCUUGAGUUCAAGCCAGGAACCACCCCCAUCUCGGCCAUGUGAAGUUUUUCCUUGUACACCAGCCCCAUGCCCCACCAGGGGCCAUGUGAUGGGGUUCCACUGCUCCAGCUUUCCAUUUUCCGGGCCAAGAUGAAUUGACAAGAACUCCCAAGACACUGCGAAAAGAGCGGCCACACAGCGCUACACCUAAGAGCUUUGGUGGCCACAGGGCAGGAUGCACAUUGAGGGGCUGUUGGAAAGGCACGAGGAAAGGGUCCACACCUGCACUAACACUUACUUGAGAUGCCUCCUGCGUCCGUGGAGCUCAGAGUAAUUGCUUCCUGGCCGCUCCCGCCACCUGCUUUGGGCGGGCUCCUCCACGGCCUCUCCUCCAGGGCUCCCAGCUGAUAGCGUUCUUCCUGAGGUGCUCCCUCCCAGCCAGCCUGUUCCAGCCGAAGCCCACGCCUCUGCCAGGGGCAUGUCUGCCUUGGAUCUUGUGAGAAGGAGUCCAGGGUGCAUGUGUGUGGAUGUCUGGCUGAGGUUCCGGGCCCCACAGGGGCUUUUAAACUGGGGCGUGGAGGAAAAUGGGGCUCCGCCUGCCCAGAGUGAGAUCGGUUGAUGGGAGAACUGAGUAUCUAGAUCCAUCCAGGGCGCUGAGGAGGCAUGGACACCGGUCUUGUGUGUGACAAAGCGGGGCUGUGGUGGGAGGGUCACCGGGCACGGCUGUGUGAGUGGUAUUUCGCAGCAGGCGUCUGGGAAAGAGGGAGUCCAACCCAACCCAGAUCGGGGAGCCCUUUCUUGACCUGUAUGAGGGGGGCCAUGAGGGCUGGUGGUGUUUGGAACUGGAGCCCGCCGUGCUGUGGGGGCAGAGGGCCGUGGAAGGGGAGAAGCUGAUGUGCAGCACGAGGUUCACUGCCACAGUAGUUCAACCAAGUUUCUUUCUUUUGUUCUUUGCGUUGUUUUGUUUUGUUUUUGUCACUGGCAUUUAUUAUGAGUCUAAAAUGCCAAAUACCACGGUAGGCACUUUACUUCCAUGAUGUCCCUGCACAGCAGCUGUUAGGUUAGACCCACUCGACAGAUGAGGAGACUGAGGCCCCAGGUCGGUGACCUGGCCACAGCCAUCAGCAGGAUGGCUUGAGUCGAGAGCUAAGAACUUUGCUUUGCAUUUGUCUGCUCCUCCCCACCCCCACAUGGAGGCCUCCCGAUCAAUGAUGUAUUUUAUUUUCCUCCCCACCUUUGUAGUAGACAUUACAUCAAUUUUCAAAUAAAAAUAGCAUCUUUCUGUGGGAUGGGAAAAGCACAAAGAGAGUAUCUUGAAAAUUGCUAAGUGUCCCAGAGACAGUAUUGCAAACAGCCUCAUUAUACGGUGUGGCACAAAGUGUUGUGGUUUCUCUUAUUAGGAUGCUGUAAACAUGUCCUAGAAUUGGCGUUUCCUUUUACUGCCUAAGGACUGACCCGGAGAUGGGUGGGAAAGGAAAGGAAGAAAGGACUUCUCUGACUAGCUCUCCAGACAGAGGCUAUCCAAGGUGUCUUCAUCCAGACAGAAAUCAACCUCACUGAAAGAGAAUCGGUUAAAUAACUAAAGGAAAAAUGAAGAGUGAAUGAGUGAAUGAAUGAAAAGGUGGUAAGGACCAGAGUAAUUGCUUCUGGAAGAAUCUUUUUUUUUUUUUUUUUACUUUUUAAAAAGUUUAUUUAUUUAUUUUAGAGGGGUGGGGGAAAAAGAGAGAGAGAGAGAAUCCCAAGCAGGUUCCACACCACUAGUGCAGAGCCCAUUGCGGGGCUUGAACUCACAAAUUGCAAGAUCGUGACCUGAGCUGAAGUCAAGAGUCUGACGCUUAACUGACUGAGCCGCCCAGGCGCCCUGCUUCUGGAGGAAUCUUGACCCUAACUGUCAACUGAAUUCUAGUGCAUCUGUUACCUUUUCUACGGGACAAACCUAUAGGGCCUCUUUAACUUUAGAAGGGAGCCAGAACGAUGGAAUUGAUAGGCUUACUGACCAGGCCCUCCCGAAGGAAAACUGUAUGCUGUUUAAAGAACGCUACGAAUAUGAACAAACCAAUGAUUGGAUGCUAAGUAAUUUCAAAUUGUCUUUUGCCUCAGCCCUGUUCCGCACUGUUGGAGACACACUGGGGAGGUCUGUGUGCACUGCCUUCACGAUUCCUGCAGGAAGGACUCCCCAUUUCAAAAGCAAGCCCCCAAAGUGGAAGCAGGGAGCCCGUGCCCUUCAUUGCAUUGUGGAAGAGAAGGGGCCAGGGCGUCACGUCCAGGGAUGAAGUGUAGGGGCGGGAGGCACUGACCCAGGGCGGCUUGUGGGGAGUGAAGAAGGGCUAGCAGGGCAGCCCUGGGGCCGGUGCAGAAAACCAGCCCAAGUGGGAGCGGAAGGAGGGGGACCAGCUGAGCUGUGGGUGAGGGAGAGAGCGCGUUGUUAGGUGGUCCUGGGGUGGGGAGGGGCGUGGGAGAGGGGAGCUCUGAAUGGGAAAGUAGUUCAGGGCUCUGAUCCCGAGCCCGCCUUCACUCCUGUGACUCUGGGAGGAGAGUGUCACCUGUACUCACCCUUCAGCCUAGCAAGGAGAGCUGAGAUCUCGUCUAGAUCAGACACAGCCUGCGUGCCGGUGGCGGCUGCCACAGUCUGGGAGAGCGCUGGCAAUGGACGCAGAGGCUGGGGUUGAGCCCCAGGGGGUGAGGCAUGGGGGUGGAGAAGGGGGGAGUCGAGGAGGGAGUGGGGCGAGAGAAGGGUGUAGGGCAGUCCUUCUUAGUGGAGAACACUCAGAUGCGCUUGGGACCUUAGGGGAGGCAUCUAGAGAGAGAGAAGCAGGGUCACUUGUGGAGGAAGGGCAGGAGGAAGCAGGAAGGGGGGAAGCACCAGAGGGGGAGAUGGGUUUUUGUAAGGAGGAGGGACGAUUCAAACCCUUCAUAGUGGGAAGACCUGGGACUCAAGGGGGUUCCUCACACGGACACGUUUUGUGUUCCCUCCAGAGGAAGGUGUUUGGGUAAAUGGCGUGGCCAGCGUCACAGGGACUGAGGGGCGGGGAGUCCAGCAUUUUCAAGAAAGCACAAAGAUCCUCACUUGGAAUCAAGAGGGUGAAUUUAUAGUGAAGUUGGUUGCCUGCUCUGCUGCUUUUCUCCAGGAGCCUAGAGAAUGGUUCCUAGGGCUCCAGGAUAAGGUUCACAGUUGCCAUUCCCUGUCCGGCACUUCCCAGUCAGUGUCAGCGGGCUGUGAUGGCCGGAUGAGGAGGGAGGGGCCCGGUGCCCUUGGCAGCAGGUGCACACUCCCUCGAGCCACGGGGACCUGCAGUCAGUGUCAGGGGCUUUCUCCCCAGGGUCUGGAGGCCUCCCUCAUUUUGGGUUCAUCAUGAAAAAGAGGAAUAGCCUAGGUCUCAUCACCAUUUCACUGCAGAGUCGAAGGCACUAAAAAAGUCAGUCUGUUUAGGAAACAUGCAUUGAGCACCUAGGGUAUUCCGGGCAUGGUUCUAAGCCCUGGGGAUUAGAAGCGGGUGCUGUCAGUGCAGAGCCCGAUAUGGGCUUGUCUCACAGACCUUAAGAUCAUGACCUGAGCCAAAAUCAAGAGUCGGAUGCCUAACCGACUGAGCCGCCCGGGUUCCCCUGUGGAUGCUUCCGAAACCCGCUCCUCUGAGUGCGCAACAGGGGUCCCUCGCGGAACAGAAACACAUUUAAGAAGUUCGCUUAAUUUUCAGUCGGGAGCGUGUCAUCACCGCUGGCCUCUGGCCAGUGUUUCUGCCCCCGCUCAGUGAGGAAGCUGCUUUCUGUGUGAUCCGAAUCGGUCCGUGCAGUGGCUUUGACCCGCGUCCUGCCUUCAGCUCAGCCUUCUGGAUGGAAAGGGCAGAGACGGGUGGGGUCAUUGCUGUGUGGGAGAAACCAGCCAUCCUAUGCUGAGUCAGCACCUGUUGCUGAAGACACUGCAAGACCGGUGCUCAACCCCUGUAACCUUUUGCCGCUUGUUGAGCCAGAGCCUUUUUAAAUGUUCCAGAACUCUCUCUAGGCAGAAAGAAUGCGCCCGCAGCCCUCAUCAGGGCAGCCCCCAACAGGACAGUUGGCUGAAAGCAGGAAUCCGUGGAAAUGGGGUCACCUUCCCAGUGCACGUGGUAACGGGGCCUGUGGGGGGCCGUCUGCAGUGAGGGUACCCGUGGGGAGCCUCUCUGGAUCUGAGGUGUAACGCGAGCGUCCAGGUCUCGGCCGGAGCAGCGGUCUGCCCGGCUGGGGGUGAGGAUGUGGAGGAGGCUGGGGCAGCAGUCAGGGCCCCGGGGAUACACCAUGCUGGCCGCUGGCCCCCCUGCAGCGCCCGUCCUGGACUGCCUCUAAUCUGGGGGGUGUGCCCCCUGGAGCUCCUCCCGGGGCUGACGUUUCUCCCGGGGCUGGAAGACUUCCCUCGGUGUGCCUGUGUGACGCUGAAAACGUCCCGGGUCCCAAACGAGGCGAAAGGGAAGCAGGCCCAGCCAAGACCUGUUAGUCCUUCUUACGGCCCCGCCUCUGCGAGCCACCUGCAGCACAGUGUCCCCGGGGCCUCCGACCCCUGGGAGGGCCCGGGGAGUCUGCUUCUGUGAGCGCUAGCUGAAGACAAAUGGUCGCCCGUGGCACUUUCCUGGGCGCCCUCGGUGAGACACCGGUUUCUAUUCGGUGGGUGUUUUCCUUGGUCCUUCGCCAAACACGGCUUUCCCGGAGGUGGAGCAAACCAAUUUGUUAACAAUUGUCAUAAAAUGAGGCCAGAGGAGGGGAGGGAGAAGAAUCUAGAGGCAAAACCCUCAAGGCAAGGACCACAGGCGGAGUGAGAGGCUCUGGUGCAGGCACUCCCUUUGCCUCCGUGCCUGGCCCUCAGUCCGACACACCCUCCUGCCCCUCGGGGCCUCCUCCACCAGGAAGUCUCCCUGCUGUUCUCCAUUGUAUUACCCGCUCUCUUUAUUACCCCGAAGGACAUGACCUCCACAUCAUUGUCAUUUUGAUUUGUUUUUAUGUUUCGUCGCAUGGUGCAGCCCUGCUUCAAAGUGCCCUGCUCCUGAGCCAUCAGGACAUUUUUGUUUCCUUGUUUAUUUUUUUUAAUGGAGUUCAUUUUUUUAGAGCAAUGAGACAUUGCUUGAUUCCAUUCAAUCAUAGCAAAAUUGAAUGGAAGGUGGAGAGAUUUCCCACUUAGCCCCUGUCCCCCUCACUCGGCCUCCCCCAAUAUCCACAUCCUGAACCACAGUGGUACAGUUGUUGUGAUCGAUGAACUUCCAUUGAUUGGCGCGUCAUCAUCACCCAGAAUCCGUAGUCCAUAUCAGCAUUCAUUCUUGGUGUUGUGCAUUCUGUGGGUUUGCACAAGUGCCUAAUGACACGUAUACACCAUUGUGAUAUCACACAGUCUUUUCACUGCCCUAAAAAGCCCUCUGUGCUCGUCUAUGCCUCCCUUCCCCCAGCUGCAAAUCUUACUGUCUCCAUAGUUUUGCCUUUUCUAGAAUGUCAGAUAGUUGGAAUGACACAGUGUGUAGCCUUUUCACAUUGGCUUCUUUUACUUAGUAACACGUCUUUAAGUUUCCUCUGUGUUCUCGUGCUUUGGGAGCUCGUUUCUUUUCAGCACUUAAUGCUGUUUCGUUGUCUGGGUGGACCUGUUUAUUUAUCCAUCACCUACUAACGGGUAUCUUGAUUGCAUCCAAGUUUUGGCAGUUAUAAGGCUCCUGUCCACCUCCGUGUGCGGAGGUAUGCGUGGACAUAAGUUUUUAAGUCCUUUGGGUAAAUACCCAUUGCCGGGUCACAUGGUAAGAGCAUGUUUAAUGUGUAAGAAAUUGCCAAACUGUCUUCCAAAGGGGCUGCGCAGUUUGCAUCCCCACCAGCUGUGAGCUAGAGUUCCUGUUUCUCCACGUCGUCCCCAGCAUUUGGUGUUCUCAGUGCUUCCAGAUUCUGGCCGUUCUCACAGGUGUGCAGUGGGGUGUUCAUAGUCGCAUUUCCCUGAUGACAGACGAUGUGGAGGGUCUUGUCCUGUGCUCAUUGGCCAUCAGGGCAUCUUUUCCCCAACGCAGUGACAGACACACGACAGCCACCACCAGAACUGAGUAUGGGCCUCGUUCCCGAGUUCCUUAUUUCUGAAAUGAGGAUGAGAGCUUCCCGCAGGCAGAGCACGUCUGUCCUGUCUGCUACAGUGGGCCCAGUGGGGUAAGUAAGAGCCAUACCUGCUCAUGUGAUCACGGAGAGACUGCUUCACCAACCUGAGCCUCAAGCUCUUCAUCUGGGAAAUGGGAGAUUAAUAGGACCUACUUUGAGAGAGUUUCCAGCGGUAAAUGUGCUAAUACAUAUAAUGUAGCUCAGAGCCUCUCACACGGGCAACGCUCAGGAAAGAUUAGCUGUCGACAAUGAUUAAUUGUUUUUUGGAAGCACGACGACGUUCCAUUAGUCCAAAGAAGGCCUGAGCUGGGACAGACCAGCUGGUAUUCUCUGACACCAAGAAACAUGAAGCCAAGCAAGCAGAGUGGUUUCUUGCAUUGUUUUCUUGUGGAUAUUUUUUCUAAAAUAGGUGCCUAGGAGCUUUUGGGUAAUGGAUAGGUAGAAAAGGUUAAAACAAAACAACCAUGCCAUGGAGACAGCUCAGUAAACUUUAAGUCCCCAAGCAAGUGUCUGCUGGGAAAACACAGUUACGAUUUAAGAAUUAAAUUUAGAGAUUAAGAGGAAUUAGCUAGUUUUGGGAUGUCACCCAGGAGUCAGGCUCAAAUGUCAGCAAAGGGGUCAGCUGGUUAACGGAAGACUGGUCUCUAUGCCACUCAGUCAUUUUCGCGACUCUGCUCAAGGUCAGUGCUGGCCUGGCCUCCUUCCUCACACCAUUAACACGACAAUUAAUGAAAUACUGGAACAGGGCCCAGACGAAACACUUGUUUAGAACACUUCCUCUCCACUUCACCGGCACAAACAUCUAUUCUGGGUUUGGGCUAUUUUCCAACGUGGGUUACAUGAUGAUAAACAAGUUGUUUUACUUUAAUUAAUUAAUUAUUAUUAUUAUUAUUUUUGGUAAGUGAAAUUUUAACUGGGUACUUUGCAAAACACAAUUAAAAAAAAGUUAUUUGAAGAAACUAUUGAGCGGAAAAGUUAGAGACGUAAAGAAUUGCAUGUGGCUAUAAAAAUGUUUUCCACUAAGCUCUGUUUAUUCCUUGGCAUUUGAAAAGACCUGCUUGGACACGUUUCUGACCAGAAGUAUGCAUUUCCCACAGAUUUGGGGGUUUUCUUAUGUAGACCGUCAAUAAUUAUCCAUCUUGUUUUAAGGACAAAAAUGGAAAGUGAAAAGUUCAAGAAAUCAAUUAGCUGGCUUGAAUUUGCUGAGGAAUUCAGAACAACGUUCAUGGCUGAAAUUUACAAAGUAAAUCAACAUAAUAUGAAGAAGUAAAUUAACCCAGAAUGACACAAUGCAAGGAUGGUUCCCAUGUAACCUCAUAAAUUUCCUGCUUGAUGGAUUUCAAGUCUCUGAUUUCUAAUAAAAUUCUCAUGAGAAUGUGGUAUUGCUCCAUAAAAACUCCUGAACUCUCCCCAUGAGAAACGGCUAGUUUAUAAGGGCACAUGGGUUCACGGCUGUGGUUUAUUUAUUAAAAAUUUCUCAGUAAAUAUAUCACGGUCCAGUGGAUAGCGCCCCGUGAUUGUGGAGGGGCUGUGUGUCAUUUCUGCUGCUCCCAAAGUAUGAAGAAAAACAAGAAGAAGCAUGUCAGGAACUCUCUGAACCAGAAAAAAAGAAAAGAAAAAACCCACAGCACUGUAACCUUUUUUUUUUUUUUUUCCAGGAGAAAGUUCUAUGAGAUCUGCUCCUUGACUUUACCUUUGGUCCACAAAGACCCCGUAGGAUUUUCACAUUUGUCUUAGGAAAGUCUGAACACGCCUGCCAGAUGGUUGACAGUGACCCCCACAAGACACAGAAUGGAGGCUUGGUGUGGUCCCGGUCCCUGCACGGGGCACACAAAAGUUGCCAAGUGGGUAUUGCAAGUUUUGAGGGACUUCAAAUAUCUCAGAGAAAAGAUGUGUAACUACACAUAGUCACGAAGAUAAUGAGUUCAUGGCUUACUCACUUCUCUUCACCCGGAAAAAUAAUGUACGCUAAAUGCUGUGUUUUUAAUCUGGGCCAAAUAACUUGGCUGAAAGCUCUCUGGGCUUAUCCUACUUGAUUCUACACACAGUCCUAAUAUGUAGGCUGUUACUGACACCCUUGUUUUAGAGAGAGGGAUGCUUUCCACAGAAAGGGGAAGCUGCUGAUGUCACGGACCUCACGAGGAAGGGAGCAGGUAUUCAAACCCAGGGAGACCGACUGAAUGCCGAUAUACUAACGACCAGACUAGACUUUGAGGGAUUUGCCCCCUUCCCCCCAGGGAGGGUGGUGUGGGUCUUGAGGACCUUUCAGGAUUGCACCCUACUCAUCCAGGAUUCUCCUCAAACAAUCCACAGGUUCCAAGCUCCCACUGGCAAAGCACCAGGAGCGAGUUACAAAGUGUGCUGAACUACCCAUGGAGGGGCCACAUCUGAUCUUCAGAGCAAGCCUCUGCCCCUUCCUCCCACCGGGUUCCAAUAUCCAAGAGUCAGACCUUAUGUUUCCAGCCCCUGGUGCGUAGAGGUGCUUGAUUAAAUCUUUUGAUAAGAAUUAAGUUUUGGUCCAUCACUGAGAAGAGAGCAUAAUUAACAGGCUUAAAAAAAAAAUAGGCUGCUUGUUAGAGCAGUUUUAGAUUCACAGUAACAUUGAGGGCACAGUACAGAGUGCUCCCUCACCCCUGCACCGGUUAUGGUUGAUGAACCUGCACGGAUCCACCAUCAUCACCCAGAGUCCAUAGUUCACGCCAGGACUCACUCUUGGUGUUGUGCAUUCCGUGGGGUUCGACAACUGUAGAAGGACAUGCAUGCACCAGACAGUAUCAUUCAGAAUAGUCCCACUGCCCUAACAGUUCUCUGUGCUCUGCCUUCUAACGCUUCCCUACCCAGCCCCUGGCAACCACUGCUCUUACUGUCUCCGUUCUUUCGCCUUUUCUAGAAGGUCAUAUAGUUGGAAUCACUCAGUACAUUGCCUUUUCAGAUUGGCUGCUUUCACUUAGUGAUUUGCACUUAAGGUUCCUCCUUGUCUGGUCACGGCUUGAUAGGUCAUUUCCCUUCAGUGCUGAGUAUUAGUCCAUUGUCUAAGGAGAGCAUAAUUUUCAUCUCAUAGAAAUGAAAAGCACUCCCUAGAUCCAUGGAAUUUGUACUGAACGUCGGAGCCAGAACCAGCACAGAACUGCUGGCACAUCCAGGAUCCACUGUCCCUAAAGAGACACAGAAAAUAUUUUUUCCCCCUGAAUGGCAAUAGCGAUUGGAUCCUGACCCAUAGGUCCCCAUGAUAAAAAGCAGCCCAUGUGGCCCUGUCAUCUGAAGUGCGAACAGCUAUUAUGUAUACGGUCCAGUCUCAAGGACCGGCAUGCUUAGCUUCAUGAAUAAAGCGCUUGCUGGAAAUUGCACUUCUAGGUAUUUAUCCAAAGGAUGCAGGUGUGCUGAUUCAAGGGGCACGUGCACCCCAAUGUUUAUAGCAGCGCUAUCAACAAUAGCCAAAGUAUGGAAAGAGCCCAAAUAUCCAUCGACAGACGAAUGGAUAAAGAAGAUGUGGUGCAUACGCACGAUGGGAUACUACUCGACGAUCAAAAAGGAUGAAAUCCUGCCAUUUGCAACAACGUGGAUGGAACUAGAGUGUGUUAUAUGCUAAGCGAAAGAAGUCAGAGAAAGAGAAGUAACAUAGGAUUCACUCAUAUGUGGAAUUUAAGGAAAACAGAUGAACACAGGGGAAGGAAAAAUAAAAUAAGAUAAAAACGGAGAGGAAGGCAAAGCAUAAGAGACUCAAAUAAAGAGAACAAACAGGGUUGCUGGAGGGGAGGUGGGGGGUGGGGAAGCUCUGAAUGGGUGACGGACACUAAGGAGGGCACUUGUUGGGAUGAGCACUGGGUGUUAUAUGUGAGCAAGGAGUCACUGAAUUCUCCUAAAAUCAUUAUUACACUGUAUGUUAAAUAACUUGGAUUUAAAGAAAUAAAAAGAAAG